AACAGGAUUAGAUACCCUGGUAGUCCACGCCGUAAACGUUGGGAACUAGGUGUGGGCUGCAUCCCACGUGGUCCGUGCCGUAGCUAACGCAUUAAGUUCCCCGCCUGGGGAGUACGGCCGCAAGGCUAAAACUCAAAGGAAUUGACGGGGGCCCGCACAAGCGGCGGAGCAUGUGGCUUAAUUCGACGCAACGCGAAGAACCUUACCAAGGCUUGACAUACGCCGGAAGCGCUCAGAGAUGGGUGUGCCCUUUGGGUCGGUGUACAGGUGGUGCAUGGCUGUCGUCAGCUCGUGUCGUGAGAUGAUGGGUUAAGUCCCGCAACGAGCGCAACCCUUGUCCUGUGUUGCCAGCACGCUCUUUUGGGUGGUGGGGACUCACGGGAGACUGCCGGGGUCAACUCGGAGGAAGGUGGGGACGACGUCAAGUCAUCAUGCCCCUUAUGUCUUGGGCUGCACACGUGCUACAAUGGCCGGUACAAUGAGUGGCGAUACCGUGAGGUGGAGCGAAUCUCAAAAAGCCGGUCUCAGUUCGGAUUGGGGUCUGCAACUCGACCCCAUGAAGUCGGAGUCGCUAGUAAUCGCAGAUCAGCAUUGCUGCGGUGAAUACGUUCCCGGGCCUUGUACACACCGCCCGUCACGUCACGAAAGUCGGUAACACCCGAAGCCGGUGGCCCAACCCCUUUUUUUGGGGAGGGAGCUGUCGAAGGUGGGACUGGCGAUUGGGACGAAGUCGUAACAAGGUAACC
rnacentral:rRNA from 1 species